rnacentral:rRNA from 1 species
UUAAGCGACUAAGCGUACACGGUGGAUGCCCUGGCAGUCAGAGGCGAUGAAGGACGUGCUAAUCUGCGAAAAGCGUCGGUAAGGUGAUAUGAACCGUUAUAGCCGGCGAUGUCCGAAUGGGGAAACCCAGUGCAAUUCGUUGCACUAUCGUUAACUGAAUACAUAGGUUAACGAGGCGAACCGGGGGAACUGAAACAUCUAAGUACCCCGAGGAAAAGAAAUCAACCGAGAUUCCCCCAGUAGCGGCGAGCGAACGGGGAGCAGCCCAGAGUCUGAAUCAGCUUGUGUGUUAGUGGAACGGUCUGGAAAGUCCGACGGUACAGGGUGAUAGUCCCGUACACCAAAAUGCACAGGCUGUGAACUCGAAGAGUAGGGCGGGACACGUGGUAUCCUGUCUGAAUAUGGGGGGACCAUCCUCCAAGGCUAAAUACUCCUGACUGACCGAUAGUGAACCAGUACCGUGAGGGAAAGGCGAAAAGAACCCCGGCGAGGGGAGUGAAAAAGAACCUGAAACCGUGUACGUACAAGCAGUGGGAGCACCUUCGGGUGUGACUGCGUACCUUUUGUAUAAUGGGUCAGCGACUUAUAUUCUGUAGCAAGGUUAACCGUAUAGGGGAGCCGCAGGGAAACCGAGUCUUAACUGGGCGUUAAGUUGCAGGGUAUAGACCCGAAACCCGGUGAUCUAGCCAUGGGCAGGUUGAAGGUUGGGUAACACUAACUGGAGGACCGAACCGACUAAUGUUGAAAAAUUAGCGGAUGACUUGUGGCUGGGGGUGAAAGGCCAAUCAAACCGGGAGAUAGCUGGUUCUCCCCGAAAGCUAUUUAGGUAGCGCCUCGUGAACUCAUCUUCGGGGGUAGAGCACUGUUUCGGCUAGGGGGUCAUCCCGACUUACCAACCCGAUGCAAACUACGAAUACCGAAGAAUGUUAUCACGGGAGACACACGGCGGGUGCUAACGUCCGUCGUGAAGAGGGAAACAACCCAGACCGCCAGCUAAGGUCCCAAAGUCAUGGUUAAGUGGGAAACGAUGUGGGAAGGCACAGACAGCCAGGAUGUUGGCUUAGAAGCAGCCAUCAUUUAAAGAAAGCGUAAUAGCUCACUGGUCGAGUCGGCCUGCGCGGAAGAUGUAACGGGGCUAAACCAUGCACCGAAGCUGCGGCAGCGACACUAUGUGUUGUUGGGUAGGGGAGCGUUCUGUAAGCCUGCGAAGGUGACCUGUGAGGGUUGCUGGAGGUAUCAGAAGUGCGAAUGCUGACAUAAGUAACGAUAAAGCGGGUGAAAAGCCCGCUCGCCGGAAGACCAAGGGUUCCUGUCCAACGUUAAUCGGGGCAGGGUGAGUCGACCCCUAAGGCGAGGCCGAAAGGCGUAGUCGAUGGGAAACAGGUUAAUAUUCCUGUACUUGGUGUUACUGCGAAGGGGGGACGGAGAAGGCUAUGUUAGCCGGGCGACGGUUGUCCCGGUUUAAGCAUGUAGGCUGGUUAUCCAGGCAAAUCCGGAUAAUCAAGGCUGAGGUGUGAUGACGAGGCACUACGGUGCUGAAGUAACAAAUGCCCUGCUUCCAGGAAAAGCCUCUAAGCAUCAGGUAACAUCAAAUCGUACCCCAAACCGACACAGGUGGUCAGGUAGAGAAUACCAAGGCGCUUGAGAGAACUCGGGUGAAGGAACUAGGCAAAAUGGUGCCGUAACUUCGGGAGAAGGCACGCUGGUGUGUAGGUGAAGUCCCUGCGGAUGGAGCUGAGACCAGUCGAAGAUACCAGCUGGCUGCAACUGUUUAUUAAAAACACAGCACUGUGCAAACACGAAAGUGGACGUAUACGGUGUGACGCCUGCCCGGUGCCGGAAGGUUAAUUGAUGGGGUUAUCCGUAAGGAGAAGCUCUUGAUCGAAGCCCCGGUAAACGGCGGCCGUAACUAUAACGGUCCUAAGGUAGCGAAAUUCCUUGUCGGGUAAGUUCCGACCUGCACGAAUGGCGUAAUGAUGGCCAGGCUGUCUCCACCCGAGACUCAGUGAAAUUGAACUCGCUGUGAAGAUGCAGUGUACCCGCGGCAAGACGGAAAGACCCCGUGAACCUUUACUAUAGCUUGACACUGAACAUUGAGCCUUGAUGUGUAGGAUAGGUGGGAGGCUUUGAAGCGUGGACGCCAGUCUGCGUGGAGCCAACCUUGAAAUACCACCCUUUAAUGUUUGAUGUUCUAACGUUGGCCCCUUACCGGGGUUGCGGACAGUGUCUGGUGGGUAGUUUGACUGGGGCGGUCUCCUCCCAAAGCGUAACGGAGGAGCACGAAGGUUAGCUAAUCCUGGUCGGACAUCAGGAGGUUAGUGCAAUGGCAUAAGCUAGCUUGACUGCGAGCGUGACGGCGCGAGCAGGUGCGAAAGCAGGUCAUAGUGAUCCGGUGGUUCUGAAUGGAAGGGCCAUCGCUCAACGGAUAAAAGGUACUCCGGGGAUAACAGGCUGAUACCGCCCAAGAGUUCAUAUCGACGGCGGUGUUUGGCACCUCGAUGUCGGCUCAUCACAUCCUGGGGCUGAAGUAGGUCCCAAGGGUAUGGCUGUUCGCCAUUUAAAGUGGUACGCGAGCUGGGUUUAGAACGUCGUGAGACAGUUCGGUCCCUAUCUGCCGUGGGCGCUGGAGAAUUGAGGGGGGCUGCUCCUAGUACGAGAGGACCGGAGUGGACGCAUCACUGGUGUUCGGGUUGUCAUGCCAAUGGCACUGCCCGGUAGCUAAAUGCGGAAGAGAUAAGUGCUGAAAGCAUCUAAGCACGAAACUUGCCCCGAGAUGAGUUCUCCCUGAGACUUUAAGUCUCCUGAAGGAACGUUAAAGACGAUGACGUUGAUAGGCCGGGUGUGUAAGCGCAGCGAUGCGUUGAGCUAACCGGUACUAAUGAACCGUGAGGCUUAACCUU